GGGGACGUGGAGCAGUCCUGGGUCUCAUGGUCUGAAGGGAGAAGAAAUCCUGCCCAGGCAGACCGCUGUGAAUGUCCAGUGGUGGAUGAAGUGUCAAUCAGCAGCAUUGGCUGGAUAUGAGUCCACUGUGGGCCAGCUCCUCUGCUGGUCCCUGGAUGCAAAGGAAUUCUGCCUCAAGAAGCCAAGCACAUCUUGUAUCAUCCAGGGGAAAUAAGCAUCAGCAUCAUUAUAAUACAAGAUGCAAGAUGUUUCCCUGUUGUGAAUUGAUGCCAAUGAUGUUCAAAGUGACCACAUUAAGAAGUAAAGCCCCAGGGAACCAGGGGAGAAAUAAAAACAAAAAAGAAAGCCACACACAGGUACUAUUUACUAGAUAAUAAAGACAAAUGUGUUCAUACCCUGUCAUCUCAGGCAUGAGUCACCCCGGUAACGCAC